rnacentral:misc_RNA from 1 species
GAUGAAGAACGUAGCGAAAUGCGAUAAGUAAUGUGAAUUGCAGAAUUCAGUGAAUCAUCGAAUCUUUGAACGCACAUUGCGCCCGCCAGCAUUCUGGCGGGCAUGCCUGUUCGAGCGUCAUUUCAACCCUCGCAGCCCAUCUGGGCAGCGGUGUUGGGGACCGGCACCACCGGCGAAGCCCUUAGGGACCCAGCCGGCGCCGCCCCCGAAAUACAGUGGCGGUCUCGCUGCAGCCUCCCUUGCGUAGUAGCACACCUCGCACCGGAGCGCAGCGCGGCCACGCCGUAAAACCCCCGACUUUCUGAGUUUGACCUCGAAUCAGGUAGGAAUGCCCGCUGAACUUAAGCAUAUCAAUAAGCGGAGGA